AUUUUAUUGCUCUUGUGUCUCAUUGUUUCUCAACUAAACGCUGUCCCGAUAGAAUAGAAUCCUUUAGCUGCUAGAAUGCAUUAAUAUUCUGUGUUGGAAAGAGCCUACAAGGAUCAUUAGAGCUGGUUCUUAAGUGAAAGGUCCAUAUGAGCAUCAAACCCAUAACCUUGGUAUUUGCUAACACCACUCUCAAUCGCAAGUUGUUUGUUUUCAUCCUUUAUGAAGUCCUUGUGGAAUGACUUUCCAAUGAUUUUGAGAAAUGACGACAUAAGAGACAGUCACAACACAGCUUUGACCCAACUGGCCAAGGAAUCAAAACAACUUUCACCGCUGUCCAAUAACCAAAUCACUUCCGGUAAACAAUCUCCAUAACACGUUCCACAUGUACAAAACAACAGGCGCAGUGAAUAAAGGUCUAACAGCUUCCAAGAGAAUCUAGGCUAUCUACCUACAGAGGAAAGCCAGAAGGAGUCCCAGCUUGUAUCAUGCAUUAUAGGUGCCCUUCCUUCAUGUUCCCAUGCUUCUUUUAUUUUAACUGAAUUGAUCCAAAUCUGUGAUACCUUCAUGUUUUGAGCCUGUUGACCAUUGCAGCCUCUUCCUCUUUCACAGAGACACUGUAAACUUCCUAGAGGCACUCUGCCCCUCAGCUGAAGUUAAAUCAUGUUGCUACCAAGCACUGUCUUCUGCAGCGCUUUGUGAAAAUCUUCUGCUCUCUUCCUCAGAAAUAACAGCUCUGUCCUGAACAAGAGAUUAACAAAAGGACAAAAAUGCUCCAGUAGAGGGAGCACCGUGAGUGCCAUAUGUUGAUUGUUCUUAAUGACAAUAGCUCAUUUCUUUUCCAGGCUGCUCUGGUCUACCCAGAGACUCACCUGUACAGAUGUGCUACUCCUAGUAAAAGCUUUCUGCUUUUUAUAGGACACAUACUUCAUGCACCUGUGGUAGUCCUGUCCCUUCCUGGAAGCCCUGAAUAUUCUCUAUAAGGAUGAGUGGCUUAUGGCUGUUUCCUGAUGCUGAAAGCCUGUAUGAUGUCUGCUGUUGAAAAGGGUUGGAGGUUAGGGCUUCAAAAUAAACAGCACUUCUUCCCACUUUGAUUACUUCUUAAAACUCUAAUGUAUCCGUUUCAGAGAUUUACAUUCAUGACUGUCAUUAAAUGCCAGAAAUUUCCUGAUUAAUUGCCACAUUUAAGUAUUCUCUGGGUUUGCAUUACUCCUUGCCAUUUAAAGUUAUAUGUUUUCCUGUUUCUGAAACUUUGAUGUUUUGAUUGCUUGUAUUUUUUCUUGCAAAAGUAUCAAGAAUCCAAUAUGUUUUGUCAGUGGUGAGGUAUAGUAUUCAUGGCUUUAACACAUUCCCAAAAGAUGAUUUUCAUGAGAUGGGAAACAAAGGGAAAAGAAAAAAGCAAACUAAAAAUAUAUUCUCUGACAUUUUUCUUGUUUUGUCAAAAAAGAGCUUGUUUUAAGAACAAAAAAAAAAAAAAAAACAAUGCAACAGUCCUAACAGUUACAGAAAUCUAUUUAUUUCCUCUAUGAAACUGUGGAAUGGUAACACAAUUUUCUGCUUAGAACUCUUUGGAUUAUUUACGGAGAGUUAAUUAAAUCUUAGACACUUAGAUUCCUAGUAUUAUGC